GGAAAACUUACCAGGUCCAGACAUAGGGAGGAUUGACAGAUUGAGAGCUCUUUCUUGAUUCUAUGGGAGGUGGUGCAUGGCCGUUCUUAGUUGGUGGAGUGAUUUGUCUGGUUAAUUCCGUUAACGAACGAGACCCCCGCCUGCUAAAUAGGUCCGUGAAUGAAUUUCAUUGACGAGAUCUUCUUAGAGGGACUUUUGGUGACUAACCAAAGGAAGUUGGGGGCAAUAA
rnacentral:rRNA from 1 species